rnacentral:rRNA from 1 species
AGAGUUUGAUCCUGGCUCAGGAUGAACGCUGGCGGCAUGCCUAAUACAUGCAAGUCGAACGAGAGGAAGGAAAGCUUGCUUUUCUGAAUCUAGUGGCGAACGGGUGAGUAACACGUAGGUAACCUGCCCAUGUGCCCGGGAUAACUUCUGGAAACGGAUGCUAAAACCGGAUAGGUAGCAGACAAGCAUUUGACUGCUAUUAAAGUGGCUUUGGCCAUGAACAUGGAUGGACCUGCGGUGCAUUAGCUGGUUGGUGAGGUAACGGCCCACCAAGGCGACGAUGCAUAGUCGGCCUGAGAGGGCGGACGGCCACAUUGGGACUGAGACACGGCCCAAACUCCUACGGGAGGCAGCAGUAGGGAAUUUUCGUCAAUGGGGGGAACCCUGAACGAGCAAUGCCGCGUGAGUGAGGAAGGUCUUCGGAUCGUAAAGCUCUGUUGUAAGAGAAAAACGGCACUCAUAGGGAAUGAUGAGUGAGUGAUGGUAUCUUACCAGAAAGUCACGGCUAACUACGUGCCAGCAGCCGCGGUAAUACGUAGGUGGCGAGCGUUAUCCGGAAUGAUUGGGCGUAAAGGGUGCGUAGGUGGCAGAUCAAGUCUGGAGUAAAAGGUAUGGGCUCAACCCGUACUGGCUCUGGAAACUGAUCAGCUAGAGAACAGAAGAGGACGGCGGAACUCCAUGUGUAGCGGUAAAAUGCGUAGAUAUAUGGAAGAACACCGGUGGCGAAGGCGGCCGUCUGGUCUGGAUUCUGACACUGAAGCACGAAAGCGUGGGGAGCAAAAAGGAUUAGAUACCCUAGUAGUCCACGCCGUA